GUGCUCGUAGUUUAGUGGAUAAAACGUCAGCCUCCGGAGCUGAAGACCGCGGGUUCGACUCCCGCCGAGCACACCA
rnacentral:tRNA from 1 species